GACGUAGGGUCCAAGCGUUGUCCGGAUUUACUGGGCGUAAAGAGCGCGUAGGCGGUCCGUUAAGUGUAGAGUGAAAUCUCUGGGCUCACCCCAGAAACUGCUCUGCAUACUGGCGGACUUGAGGGAUGCAGAGGUUUGUGGAAUUCCUGGUGUAGCGGUGAAAUGCGUUGAUAUCAGGAGGAACACCCAUGGCGAAGGCAGCAAACUGGGCAUCAUCUGACGCUGAGGCGCGAAAGCGUGGGUAGCAAACAGG
rnacentral:rRNA from 1 species